UACGGAGGGAGCUAGCGUUGUUCGGAAUUACUGGGCGUAAAGCGCGCGUAGGCGGCUUUGUAAGUUAGAGGUGAAAGCCCGGAGCUCAACUCCGGAACUGCCUUUAAAACUGCAUCGCUUGAAUCCAGGAGAGGUGAGUGGAAUUCCGAGUGUAGAGGUGAAAUUCGUAGAUAUUCGGAAGAACACCAGUGGCGAAGGCGACUUACUGGACGAUUGUUGACGCUGAGGUGCGAAAGCGUGGGGAGCGAACAGG
rnacentral:rRNA from 1 species